rnacentral:rRNA from 1 species
CCUACGGGAGGCAGCAGUAGGGAAUAUUGCGCAAUGGGGGAAACCCUGACGCAGCAACGCCGCGUGAGUGAGGAAGGUCUUCGGAUUGUAAAACUCUUUUAUCAGGGAAAAAUGAUUAUGAGGUUAAUACCCUCAUGAAGUGAUGGUACCUGAUGAAUAAGCACCGGCUAACUUCGUGCCAGCAGCCGCGGUAAU